rnacentral:rRNA from 1 species
UACGUAGGUGACAAGCGUUGUCCGGAUUUACUGGGCGUAAAGAGCGCGCAGGCGGUCGAUCAAGUCGAGUGUGAAAGCCCCCGGCUCAACUGGGGAGGGUCAUUCGAUACUGAUCGACUCGAAGGCAGGAGAGGGUAGUGGAAUUCCCGGUGUAGUGGUGAAAUGCGUAGAUAGUCGGAGGAACACCAGUGGCGAAGGCGACUACCUGGCCUGUUCUUGACGCUGAGGCGCGAAAGCUAGGGGAGCAAACGGG